rnacentral:rRNA from 1 species
AACGAACGCUGGCGGCAGGCUUAACACAUGCAAGUCGAACGCCCCGCAAGGGGAGUGGCAGACGGGUGAGUAACGCGUGGGAAUCUACCGUACCCUACGGAAUAACGCAUGGAAACGUGUGCUAAUACCGUAUACGCCCUACGGGGGAAAGAUUUAUCGGGGUAUGAUGAGCCCGCGUUGGAUUAGCUAGUUGGUGGGGUAAAGGCCUACCAAGGCGACGAUCCAUAGCUGGUCUGAGAGGAUGAUCAGCCACAUUGGGACUGAGACACGGCCCAAACUCCUACGGGAGGCAGCAGUGGGGAAUAUUGGACAAUGGGCGCAAGCCUGAUCCAGCCAUGCCGCGUGAGUGAUGAAGGUCUUAGGAUUGUAAAGCUCUUUCACCGGAGAAGAUAAUGACGGUAUCCGGAGAAGAAGCCCCGGCUAACUUCGUGCCAGCCGCCGCGGUAAAAC